rnacentral:rRNA from 1 species
UACGUAGGGGGCAAGCGUUGUCCGGAAUCAUUGGGCGUAAAGCGCGCGUAGGCGGCCCGGUAAGUCCGUUGUAAAAGUCGAAGGCUCAACCUUCGAAAGCCGAUGGAUACUGCCGGGCUAGAGUCCGGAAGAGGCGAGUGGAAUUCCUGGUGUAGCGGUGGAAUGCGCAGAUAUCAGGAGGAACACCUAUAGCGAAGGCAGCUCGCUGGGACGGUACUGACGCCGAGGCGCGAAAGCGUGGGGAGCGAACAGG